GACGAACGCUGGCGGCGUGCUUAACACAUGCCAGUCGAACGGAAAGGCCCUGCUUUUGUGGGGUGCUCGAGUGGCGAACGGGUGAGUAACACGUGAGUAACCUGCCCUUGACUUUGGGAUAACUUCAGGAAACUGGGGCUAAUACCGGAUAGGAGCUCCUGCUGCAUGGUGGGGGUUGGAAAGUUUCGGCGGUUGGGGAUGGACUCGCGGCUUAUCAGCUUGUUGGGGGGGUAGUGGCUUACCAAGGCUUUGACGGGUAGCCGGCCUGAGAGGGUGACCGGCCACAUUGGGACUGAGAUACGGCCCAGACUCCUACGGGGGGCAGCGGUGGGGAUUAUUGCACAAUGGGCGGAAGCCUGAUGCAGCAACGCCGCGUGCGGGAUGACGGCCUUCGGGUUGUAAACCGCUUUCGCCUGUGACGAAGCGUGAGUGACGGUAAUGGGUAAAGAAGCACCGGCUAACUACGUG
rnacentral:rRNA from 1 species